UUUGCCCUACGGGGCGCAGCAGUGGGGAAUAUUGCACAAUGGGGGAAACCCUGAUGCAGCGACGCCGCGUGAGUGAAGAAGUAUUUCGGUAUGUAAAGCUCUAUCAGCAGGAACGAGACAAGACGGUACCUGACUAAGAGGCCCCGGCUAACUACGUGCCAGCAGCCGCGGUAAUACGUAGGGGGCAAGCGUUAUCCGGAAUCACUGGGCGUAAAGGGAGCGUAGACGGCUGAGCAAGCCUGAAGUGAAAG
rnacentral:rRNA from 1 species